CGGGACGGGUGAGUAAUGUCUGGGAAACUGCCUGAUGAGGGGGAUAACUACUGGAAACGGUAGCUAAUACCGCAUAACGUCGCAAGACCAAGAGGGGGACCUUCGGGCCUCUUGCCAUCGGAUGUGCCCAGAUGGGAUUAGCUAGUAGGUGGGGUAACGGCUCACCUAGGCGACGAUCCCUAGCUGGUCUGAGAGGAUGACCAGCCACACUGGAACUGAGACACGGUCCAG
rnacentral:rRNA from 1 species